AUGUCGGGACCUCGUGUGGGUGAUCGUCUGUCCGAUGAUGAUUUACUAUGUGAGGGCCGUCCUGCUGUUCAUCGUGUCGUUGGCUCUGCAUCUACUGGGGUUCGAGGUCAGACUUCAUCUGCUGCUGAUUUGCGUCGACGGCACAAAGAGAUCCGACUGGGAAACGUCCUGUUAAUUGCGAUGUUGGUUAUCAGGCUUAGAUCUGCUUGCAUAUUCCUUCAUUGUUUUGUGUCAGUUUGA
rnacentral:rRNA from 1 species